rnacentral:tRNA from 1 species
GCCUCCGUGGCGAAAUUGGUAGACGCGGCGCACUCAAAAUGCGCAGUCCGCAAGGGCGUGUUGGUUCGAGUCCGACCGGAGGCACCA